UCCGUAGGCGGGCUAAUAAGUCAGUGGUGAAAUCUCCCGGCUCAACCGGGAAAUGGCCAUUGAUACUGUUAGUCUUGAAUUAUUAGGAAGUAACUAGAAUAUGUAGUGUAGCGGUGAAAUGCUUAGAGAUUACAUGGAAUACCAAUUGCGAAGGCAGGUUACUACUAAUGGAUUGACGCUGAUGGACGAAAGCGUGGGUAGCGAACAGGAUUAGAUACCCUGGUAGUCCACGCCGUAAACGAUGGAUACUAGCUGUUGGGAGCAAUCUCAGUGGCUAAGCGAAAGUGAUAAGUAUCCCACCUGGGGAGUACGUUCGCAAGAAUGAA
rnacentral:rRNA from 1 species